GGAGGUGUAGUUUAGUGGUAGAACAUAUGCUUAAUAUGUGUGAAUCUCUGGGUUCAAGUCCCAGUAGCUCAC
rnacentral:tRNA from 1 species